rnacentral:lncRNA from 1 species
UUCUGGUGUGUCUGAAGACAGCUACAGUGUACUUACAUAUAAUAAAUAAAUCUUUAAAAAAAAAAAGAAGUUAAAGGUAGAAUGUGGUAGAUAUUUUUCCCUGCCCCUAAAAGGGUGGACAGUGUUGGUAUACUUUGGAAAAGUAAGCUUCCAGCAAAGAGGUUCUAUCUUCAUUGUUCAUUUUAAUAAUUUGUUUUUAUAUUAUAGGCAUUGAUGUUUUGCCUGCUUCACAUAUGUAUGUCUGUGUGACGGUGUCAGACCUUGGAAUUACAGACAGUUGUGAGCUGCCAUGUGGGUGCUGAGAAUUGAACUCAGGUCCCCUGGAAGAACAUUCAGUGCUCUUAACUGCCAGGCCCUCUCUCCAGCUCUCUACCUCCAUUGUUUAAGAUGAUGGAUUCCCAGUACAAAAUGAGCUCUUCUUGUUAGUUUUGUUAUAUUUGGAGUGAAAGUCAAAUUCUUUUAUUUUAAAAGAAAAAUUACUUCUGAUAUAAUGCUGACUACCAAGAGGAGUCUGUGCAUUUCCAAGGAGGGGCUGCCUGGUACUGGGUGUUGUCUGUCAUGGGCACCACUAUCAUGCUCUAACUAGGGCAUGUAGGACUGCUGCCUUUCCCACAGGACUGCUCAGAGAUCCGCUCACAGUUAGAGAUUACAGACAGCUCUCGUUGCUGGCCUCACCUUUGCUCAUCCAGAGAAGCCUCUCAUGAGCACUGUGUGGAAGGUGGAGGUAAUAGGGAUGCUGUUAGAGGUUAUGUCUGAGUUAGGCAGCACCUCUCAGCUUUACCUCCUCAGUGUGAAGAACUGGUGAACAGGACCCCAGGCUCAGUGGUUAAGAACACUUCCUGCUCUUUCAAAAGACAAAGUUUGAUUUCCAGAGCUUACAUGUCAGCUCACAACUGUCAGUAACUCCAUUCCAGGGAAUAGACAUCCUUUUCUGGCCUCCUCAGGCACUGCACACAAGUGGUACAAAGACAUACAUGCAUGCAAAACACCCAUACACAU